AAUCAACGCUGGCGGCGUGCCUCAGACAUGCAAGUCGAACGAUUAAGACUUCCUUCGGGAAGUGUAUAAAGUGGCGCACGGGUGAGUAACACGUAAGUAAUCUACCUUCGAGUGGGGAAUAACAUCGGGAAACCGAUGCUAAUACCGCAUAAUGCAGCGGCAUCGCAAGAUGACAGUUGUUAAAGGAGCAAUUCGCUUGAAGAGGAGCUUGCGGCAGAUUAGCUAGUUGGUAAGAUAAUGGCUUACCAAGGCUACGAUCUGUAUCCGGUCUAAGAGGACGGUCGGACACACUGACACUGAAUAACGGGUCAGACUCCUACGGGAGGCAGCAGUCGGGAAUUUUGGGCAAUGGGCGAAAGCUUGACCCAGCAACGCCGCGUGAGGGAUGAAGUAUUUCGGUAUGUAAACCUCGAAAGAAUGGGAAGAAUAAAUGACGGUACCAUUUAUAAGCUCCGGCUAACUACGUGCCAGCCGCCGCAGUAAAAC
rnacentral:rRNA from 1 species